GACGUAGGGCGCGAGCGUUGUCCGGAUUUAUUGGGCGUAAAGAGCUCGUAGGCGGCUUGUUGCGUCAGCUGUGAAAACCCGCAGCUCAACUGUGGGCUUGCAGCUGAUACGGGCAGGCUUGAGUUCGGUAGGGGAGACUGGAAUUCCUGGAUGUAGCGGUGAAAUGCGCAGAUAUCAGGAGGAACACCGGUGGCGAAGGCGGGUCUCUGGGCCGAUGACUGACGCUGGAGGAGCGGAAAGCCGUGGGGAGCAAACAGG
rnacentral:rRNA from 1 species